GCUACUUCAGCAGAGUUUGAAAAAUGUUUCUGGAGUCGCGACGCGUGAGGGAGCUUCGCUGAUCAAACGAGAACAGAGGAGCGGCGUGUUUGGAUGAUUAUAAGACUUUAUGUACUGUAGAUAAUGAAACAAGAUCAGUACAGAUUUGUUACUGGAGAUACAGUGAGGAGACACAGACCAGUACUGAAGAGGUAACAAACCAAAGGAAGAGGACAGCAGCUUUGCUGUGUCAGUUGUAGUAAAUACAGGAACAUUCUUCAUGAAGAUGUGCAAGGGAAGAUGAGGGGGAAAAAUUAAAGCCCAGUGUCAGUGAAAAUGGUGUGAUCAGGAAUUCUGGUGUUUGUAGGAAAUCUGAAGGAACAUCUCCCAGCAUUCUACUACGGUGUUGCCCUGAUGAUUGAGGAAUUUUUUUUUGGACUUUCCUGCCUCUUUGGAACAUUUCCGUUCACAGAGACUGUGGAGAGAUGGUGUGCAGCUUUAUGACAUUUGAAGUUUACUGCCGAUGGAGAGCUUCUGGGACACUGACAAACA